GGAUGCGAUCAUACCAGCACUAAAGCACCGUAUCCCAUCAGAACUCCGAAGUUAAGCAUGCUUGGGCGAGAGUAGUACUAGGAUGGGUGACCUCCUGGGAAGUCCUCAUGUUGCAUUCC
rnacentral:rRNA from 1 species